rnacentral:rRNA from 1 species
AGGCCGGUGUACACUAUCAACCCCAUUGACUCCUUGAACAUUAAGCUGAAGAGGUUUAAGAAAUUCUUUAAAGGAUGGGGUUCUAACAUUUUUGGUCACAACAAAAUCAGAAAACUCAUCAAGCUCGAGCUUCAGGAGCUUGAAAAGCUGGAAGAGGCUGAUGGGCUGUGUGGGGAAGCUUAUACUAGGAAGCUGGAGAUUCUAGUAGAGCUCAAUGACAUGUAUGUUGCAGAAGAGCUUCAUUGGCACCAGUUUUCUAACGAGAGAUGGUUAUUGAAAGGGGACAAUAACACAGAUUUUUUUCAUAAAGUAGCCAAUGGGCGACGUAGGAAAAACUCCAUGAUUUCUCUAGAAUGUGGGUCUGUAACUAUAGAAGGUACCAAAAACCUAGUUGCCCAUGCUACUGACUAUUACAAAUCCCUAUUUGGACCAGCCCCUGGCAAUCUUUGCCAGAUUGAUGCAACUUUAUGGUCUCAGGAUGAGAAAAUUACUCCUGAUGACAAUGAUGACUUGACUCGGCCCUUUUCUCUUGAUGAGAUCAAAAAAACUUUGUUUGACAUGAAAUCUAAUCGUGCCCCUGGGCCAGACGAUAUCCCUGUCGAAUUCUAUCAACAUUUCUGGGAGGUGGUAGCUCAAGAUCUAUUGCACCUGUUUGAGUGGUUUCAUGAAGGCAAGUUGGAUGUGCAACGAUUAAACUACGGUAUCAUAACUCUGUUGCCUAAGUUGAUAGAUGCUAAUAGAAUCCAGCAAUAUAGGCCCAUUUGCUUGUUACGUUGCCCAUACAAAUUACUUACCAAAGCCAUGGAUAUUAGGGCCAGCAAAUAUGCUCAUAAGCUGUUUAGUAUUCAACAGAAUGCUUUCAUUAAAGGGAGGCAUAUUGUUGAUGGCAUCCUAUCUUUACAUGAAAUUUUACAUUAUACCAUAUUAAAAAGCGAGUGGGGGUGA